rnacentral:lncRNA from 1 species
GCGCGUGGGGGCGCGGGAGCGGGCGAAGGCGGUGGCGGGGGUUCGCAGCGCUCUGCCCCCCUGCCCGCAGCGACCCGUCCCAGAGCGACCCCAGCACCAAGGACUUCUGGCUGAACAUGGCAGCGCUGACGGGGCACCUGCAGAAGCAGGCGGAGCAGAGCCCGGCGGCCUCCUACUACAACGUGGCGCUCCUCAAGUACCAGGUGAGCCCCGGGGAAAGGGCCAGGACUCCUGGGUCCCCCCCCGGGGGGGCGGCGGGGGUUCGGUCCCCGCUGAGGCUGCCGGUUGCCCCCGCAGUUCUCCAAGCUGGGCCCGGGCUCGGCGCCGCUGCAGCUCUGCGUGCGCUGGGACUGCUCGCCGGGCGCCACGCGGGUCAGCGUGGAGUACAGCUACAACGCCGGCGCCCUCGCCGUGCCCGUGCCCCUCGCCAACGUCCAGGUGCUGCUGCCCGUGGAGGAGCCCGUCACCAACGUGCGGCUGCAGCCCGCGGCCAGCUGGAACCUGGAGGAGAAGAGGCUGCUCUGGCGGCUGCUGGACGUUCCCGGGGCCCCGGGCCAGGGAGGCUGCGGCCGGCUCUCGGCCAGCUGGGAGCCCCUCUACGGGCCCAGCAAGCCCAGCCCCGUGGCGGCCCAGUUCACCAGCGAGGGCAGCACGCUGUCGGGCGUCGAGGUGGAGCUGGCGAGCGCCGGCUACCGCAUGUCGCUGGUCAAGAAGAGGUUUGCCACAGGGAUUUACCUGGCUGGGUCCUGAGCAUCGCCUGCCCCUCGGAUCCUCCGAGCUCCUCCGGGCUUUCCCGUGGUGGUUUGAACUCAAAACACUGGCUGGAGGCUGGCCGGGCAGGGGGUGCUGCCGGCCACCACCGGGGCCCUGGCGAAGGCCCCGGCAUUGCGCUGGCCGGGUAAGAGCCCUCCUCCUCCUCCUCCUCCUCUUCCUCCUGGCUCCCCUCCGUGGUCGCCUUGGCUGUAACCGUCGUCUCCUGCUGGCUGGAGGAUGGUCCCCCCCGUCCUCCUCUGUGCUGUGAAGGGAGCAGGAGCUGCUCUUUUAUUAAACACUUUAUUUUCUAAUAACCCCCCCUCCCGCCGGCUCCUG